rnacentral:rRNA from 1 species
GACGAACGCUGGCGGCGUGCUUAACACAUGCAAGUCGAACGGAAAGGCCCUGCUUUUGUGGGGUGCUCGAGUGGCGAACGGGUGAGUAACACGUGAGUAACCUGCCCUUGACUUUGGGAUAACUUCAGGAAACUGGGGCUAAUACCGGAUAGGAGCUCCUGCCGCAUGGUGGGGGUUGGAAAGUUUCGGCGGUUGGGGAUGGACUCGCGGCUUGUCAGCUUGUUGGUGGGGUAGUGGCUUACCAAGGCUUUGACGGGUAGCCGGCCUGAGAGGGUGACCGGCCACAUUGGGACUGAGAUACGGCCCAGACUCCUACGGGAGGCAGCAGUGGGGAAUAUUGCACAAUGGGCGGAAGCCUGAUGCAGCAACGCCGCGUGCGGGAUGACGGCCUUCGGGUUGUAAACCGCUUUCGCCUGUGACGAAGCGUGAGUGACGGUAAUGGGUAAAGAAGCACCGGCUAACUACGUG